rnacentral:ncRNA from 1 species
CCGGUUUGGUCACACGCAUGUGUGUCAAAAGGGAACCAGGUGCGACUCCUGGACAGUCCCGCUGCUGUAAGCCUCCCCUGGAGGCGAGCCUGCCGACGGCCACUGCACGGCGCCAUAGCCGCGCGGGAAGGCCAGGCCCGCCCGAGGCAAAGUCAGAAGACCUGCCAGACC